rnacentral:lncRNA from 10 species
GCAUUUCCCAGGGAUUGGAAUUUAGUGGGGAGCACAUUGAUCAAAGGCUGUUUCAUCCCACAUGGGCACGAAACAUACCACAUUUUACGGAGGAUGUAGCCCCAGAGAAGAGGGAGGUGGAGAAGCAUAAAUGAAAGGCACCUUUUCCUUCCUCUAGAAGAUGCACAGAGAAUUUCUGACCUUGUGACGUUUGGGAGUGAGGAGAUCCCAUACAGAGGCAUCCAGGUAUUUCCAGAGAUCCUGUGGCAGGUGAGGUCUGCCCUCGCUGGAGCCAACUCGUCUAUAAUAUCUUCCUAACAGCAGAACCUGGGUCUCACUCUGUCCCCUAGGCUGGAAUGCAGUGGUGUGAUCAUGGCCCACUGCAGCCUUGAACUCCUGGACCCAAGCAAUCCUCCCAUCUCAGCCUCCCAAGUAGCUGGAACUACAGGUACGGGAAAACUGGCUUAGAGAUGUUAAAUAUCCUGGAUUAUUGUCAGUUUAACAAAAUAAUUUCGGCUAUCAAAGAUCAAGUGGGAUAAAUUUCAGAGGAAGAAACUGAGCUCCUUGCAUACCAUAGAGGAGAGGUCGAGGUCCUUCCACUGAAGCACCAAGUGGGGUAUAUAAAGCCACACUGCCCAUGAGGGCUGUGGUGUGAGUCUGCUAGCCGUGAGAGACAGAUGCAUUACAAAGGGAUGGAUUUAGUGCACUCUUUCCUCUCUUACUCACAGCCUGAACAGCCAGUGAACAAUGAAACAAAACUUCUUCCCAAGCCUCAAUGAGGAUUGUGCCAUAGUUUGAAGAGAUGGCAUCAAGGUGAGUUGAUUCAGCAGCUUAACCUUGUCAUCGAGCAUUCCAGUUCUUUCAGCCUCUCUACUCUGCUGUCUGCAACAACAGUUUAUACAAAGGCUGGUUUCUUUCUCAUGUGA